UGUCUGAAAUAUAUAUAACGAUGUUAGCUUCAUCUUUUCAUCAAAGUUAUUGACGACUUAAAAAGUGUAUAGAGUGGCUGGUAAGCAAUACUCCCAGCAUUGCAAAACUCCCAGCAAAAGAUAAAUUGUCUCGUCAACUAAAACAGAAUAUACAAGAGAUGGAGCACAUGCUUAGUGAAUCUACCUCAGAUGUUGAUCUUCCACUAGUGUUUUGAGAUGAAAUUGAUGAAAGAAGUGAAGUGGGAUAGAGAUGGAAUCAGAAAAGGACACGAAAAGUGCAAAAGAAGAGAAACCGCAAGUACCGCUCAACGCCAAUUACCGCUGAGCAGCACUCUCAAAGACUCGUUGGCACCGCUGAGGGGAAAAAUGCCGCUGAGGGGAAGAAAUGAUCACACGCUACUACCGUUGAGCGGUAUUUACCGCUAAGCGGCACUUUUCUGGGCUUGGGCCUACUUUUCUGUAUUUUUUAGAAUAAUAUAUAACCUUUAGGACAUCCUAGGGUUUGUAUCUUUGGCUGGAAUGAAGCAGAAACACACUUUUCACUCCUUGGGGGUAGAAUUGGAGAUGGUGACGGCUCUCCUCUUCUCUUUCUCGGGUUUUUCUAUCUCUUCCAUUCUUUCAUUCCAUUGUUCAUCUAGUUCUUCCAUGAAUAUGGUAAACUAAACUUAUUUUGUUGUUGGGGAAUCAAUGUAAAUCCUUAGAAACUCUCUUGUAUGGAAUUUGUUCUUCAAGAUCAUUUUUAUGA